UGAGUGUGGAGCAAUAUUGCACGUGUAUCCUGCAGCUGCCACCACACGCCGAUUACUACUAACUUGGGAAAUGCGAAGGACUUGGAACCACCAAAACAAUCUCCAAAAAGAACCAAGCAGGACUCACACUGCCUGAUGCAAGGCUCGCUGUAAAGCUGUGUGGCCAGCGCGGCUGGGCCCUGAACUCCGAGAGGCCAGCAAGUUUGGUCUGGCUGGUUCACUGCGGUGGCCUCGCUGUCUGGAGCAGUCUUGGCCUGGGACAUCAUAGACUCGAAAACUUGUUGACUGAGUGAAGAAGGUCCUGCCUGCCACUCAAAGUUUGAAAAUCCCAUGAAAACAUCCAAGCAUUUUUGUGAGUCUGACAUGAAUUGCCAAAAUGCCCCCUGGGAAGAAUUGCUGCAACUUACAGCAGGUGCACAAGACGUCCCUUCGCACUUUAAGCAGCUCCUUCAGGUCUUUCCAGCUUGAUGACCUCCGGCAAGAAAAUGUGGGUUUCUUGGUUUAUUUAAUGUAAAUGUUAUUCUUAAUUGUUUCUUGGUUUAAAUUCCUUCCCAUCAGGGGAUAGAUCCCCAAGGGCACGAAUGAAAUUGGUGAGUCCUUGUAUCUGCCACAAAGUCUGGCACAGAACUGGGACCCCAGCCUUACCCAUAAAAAUGAGUAGUUUGAAGACAUGCGUGGGGCAAAUUCAUCCCAAGACAGAGCGUAUUGUGAUUUUAAACCCUCAAGUCCUCAAUUAAAUUAAAAAUCAGUUUAAAAGGCCCUGGGAAAAUUUGGGGGAGCACGCAGGGAAAUGGGCACUCAGGCACCGGGGGUGGGAGUGUAAAUGACUUCAGUGUUUCUGGAAAGCAAUUUCCCCAGGUGAUUCCAGAUCCUGGAAAUCACUCAUGCCCUUUUAUUAGGUAAUUCCACACCUAGGGAAGAUCCUGAGGAAAUAAAAAAAUAAUCAGAGAUGCACAGAAAGAUUUAUUUAUGUACCGACGUGUUCACUGCAGUAGAGCUUAUAAAUAAAUUGGAGACAGCUCGAUGUCCAUCAGCAGGCAGCUGACUUCAGUAGAGCGUGGUGUGUUCAUACAAGGGAAUUCUUUGCAAUCCUUAAAAUUCAAGUUUUAAAAGAUCUUUUAAAUGGCGGGGUAGAAACCGUGUGUAAUGUUGAAUGAAGAAAGCAGAUUAUAGAAAUAUGUUCUGUGUGGUCUCAAUAUUAUGAAAAUCCCUGUGCAUAUGUGCACGGAAAAAAGAGUGGAAAGACACAAUACAAAUACUGCAGAGCUAUCACUGGAAUGUGAGAUUAAAGUUAAUUUUUCUUUCCUUCUUAUACUUCUCUGUGUUUUCCAAAAUCUCUGUGA